ACGCGAGUGCGAUAAGGGGACUCCGAGUGCGAGGGCAUAUAGUCCUCGCUUUUCACGACCGUAAGGUGGUCGUAGAAUAAGUGCUGGGCAAGACCGGUGCCAGCCGCCGCGGUAAUACCGGCAGCACGAGUGAUGACCGCUAUUAUUGGGCCUAAAGCGUCCGUAGCUGGCCACGCAAGUCUAUCGGGAAAUCCGCGCGCUUAACGCGCGGGCGUCCGGUGGAAACUGCGUGGCUUGGGACCGGAAGACCAGAGGGGUACGUCCGGGGUAGGAGUGAAAUCCCGUAAUCCUGGACGGACCACCGGUGGCGAAAGCGCCUCUGGAAGACGGAUCCGACGGUGAGGGACGAAAGCUCGGGUCACGAACCGGAUUAGAUACCCGGGUAGUCCGAGCUGUAAACGAUGUCUGCUAGGUGUGGCACAGGCUACGAGCCUGUGCUGUGCCGUAGGGAAGCCGUGAAGCAGACCGCCUG
rnacentral:rRNA from 1 species